rnacentral:rRNA from 2 species
UUUUAUGGAGAGUUUGAUCCUGGCUCAGGAUGAACGCUGGCGGCGUGCCUAAUACAUGCAAGUCGAGCGAACGGACGAGAAGCUUGCUUCUCUGAUGUUAGCGGCGGACGGGUGAGUAACACGUGGAUAACCUACCUAUAAGACUGGGAUAACUUCGGGAAACCGGAGCUAAUACCGGAUAAUAUUUUGAACCGCAUGGUUCAAAAGUGAAAGACGGUCUUGCUGUCACUUAUAGAUGGAUCCGCGCUGCAUUAGCUAGUUGGUAAGGUAACGGCUUACCAAGGCAACGAU